ensembl:lncRNA
UGAAUAGCUGGUAGUGAAUCCCCACUAGCGUCUGUCUGGCUGUCUGCUGAAUAGCUGGUAGUGAAUCCCCACUAGCGUCUGUCUGGCUGUCUGCUGAGUACUUUCCAUCUGUUUGCUUCCUUGAAUAAAACAUAAUAAAACAAAUCUUCUACAUUAUAAACAGUGAUACAUAUCUAGUUCAUUCAAACACAUAUACAGUCAGAACGCGACGUACCAGCAUUGGUGAAACUAUUUCUUUAAGUACUGCAUACAUAGCAAUGUUACAUUUUCAAUACAUCCUUAUGAAAUGCCAAAGGCCAUCGGUCUCAAAGGUGAGUGUCUGUUGCUGUCAGAGUGGUCUGUUGUUGUCAGAGUGGUCUGUUGUGUGUCUGCUGUCGGAGUGGUCUGUUGUGUGUCUGUUGUCAGAGUGGUAUUUUGUCAGAGUGGUCUGUUGUGUGUCUGUUGUCAGAGUGGUCUGUUGUGUGUGUUGUCAGAGUGGUAUUUUGUUAGAGUGGUCUGUUGUGUGUCUGUUGUCAGAGUGGUCUGGUAUGUGUCUAAUGUCAGAGAGGUCUGUUGUGUGUCUGUUGUCAGAGUGGUAUUUUGUUAGAGUGGUCUGUUGUGUGUCUGUUGUCAGAGUGGUCUGUUAUGUGUCUGUUGUUUUCAGAAUCCAGUAGAGUCCAGUAAAGACCAGUAGAGUCCAGUAGAGACACAGUAGAGACACAGUAGAGUCCAGUCAAGAGUCCAGUGAAGAGUCCAGUAGAGUCCAGUAGAGACCAGUAGAGACACAUCAAGACACAGUAGAGUCCAGUGGAAACCGAGUGGAGACCAGUAGUCCAGUAGAGUCCAGUAGAGACACAGUAGAGUCCAGUAGAGACACAGUAGAGUCCAGUAGAGACCAGUAGUCCAGAGAGACCAGUAGAAUCCAGUAGAGUCCAGUGGAGACACAGUAGAGUCCAGUGGAGACCGAGUGGAGACCAGUAGUCCAGUAGAGUCCAGUAGAGACACAGUAGAGUCCAGUAGAGACCAGUAGAGUCCAGUAGAGACACAGUAGAUUCCAGUAGAGACACAGUAGAGUCCAGUAGAGACACAGUAGAGUGCCCAGUGUUACAGGCGUCACUGGGCAUGCUUAACAGGAUAGCUUCCUCAUUCAAGUCCUUACUGAUCAUCCGUAACACCAGUUCUCAGUGCAGUGGCAUCACAGCUAGAAGAGGAAGACACAUUGACAGGGUUAACAAAAAGGAUUUACAAACUGUCAAACAUUGUAAAUGUCCAACCCCAACUGUCUGGUUACUAACUGAGCUAGAGAAAGGUUGAUUUAACAUGACUGUCUAACAUCUAGACUGUACAUCUAUUGAUUAGGCUCAUUUGACGUCUUAUGACUGUAAGAGUAGAUGAUUACAAUGUAGCACUGUCAUAACUUUUUAUUAUAACAGAUUUCUGCACCAAUGAUCUGCUGCCCCCUAGCUGCUGAGCUGAGGUAUAAACAACAAGUGAACCUAUCACCAAUUAUCUGCUGCCCCCUAGCUGCUGAGCUGUGGGAUGAACAACAAGUGAACCUAUCACCAAUGAUCUGCUGCCCCCUAGCUGCUGAGCUGAGGGAUGAACAACAAGUGAACCUUUUAACAUAAUGACCGUGCAUCAACAACGCCAACGAAAGCAGAACAAACAUACAGCUAUGUAACAUGCUAUAGCACACAUGGCAGAAGGACACAGAGGAGCAUGAGACAUGAGACCUGAGACAUGAGACAUGAGACCAGAGACCAGAGACAUGAGACCUGAGACCUGAGACCUGAGACAUGAGAC